rnacentral:rRNA from 1 species
AACGAACGCUGGCGGCGCGUCUUACGCAUGCAAGUCGAACGGCAAGAGAGGAGCUUGCUUCUCUCCUAGAGUGGCGGACUGGUGAGGAACACGUGGGUAAUCUACCCUUAAGAUGGGGAUAGCUGCUAGAAAUAGCAGGUAAUACCGAAUACACUCGGCAUAUCACAAGAGGUGUUGAGGAAAGGAAGCUACGGCUUCGCUUGAGGAUGGGCUUGCGUCCCAUUAGCUAGUUGGUGAGGUAAAGGCCCACCAAGGCGACGAUGGGUAUCCGGACUGAGAGGGUGAACGGACACAUUGGGACUGAGAUACGGCCCAAACUCCUACGGGAGGCAGCAGCUAAGAAUAUUCCGCAAUGGACGGAAGUCUGACGGAGCGACGCCGCGUGGAUGAAGAAGGCUGAAAAGUUGUAAAAUCCUUUUGUUGAUGAAGAAUAAGGGUGAGAGGGAAUGCUCAUCUGAUGACGGUAAUCGACGAAUAAGCCCCGGCUAAUUACGUG